rnacentral:rRNA from 1 species
CGGCAGACGGGUGAGUAACGCGUGGGAACAUACCUCUUGGUUCGGAACAACACAGGGAAACUUGUGCUAAUACCGGAUAAGCCCUUACGGGGAAAGAUUUAUCGCCGAGAGAUUGGCCCGCGUCUGAUUAGCUAGUUGGUGAGGUAACGGCUCACCAAGGCGACGAUCAGUAGCUGGUCUGAGAGGAUGAUCAGCCACAUUGGGACUGAGACACGGCCCAA